rnacentral:rRNA from 1 species
CAUGUAGUUAGCCGUGGCUUAUUCAAGGGGUACCGUCUUCUGCUCUUCCCCCUUAAAAGAAGUUUACAACCCGAAAGCCUUCUUCCUUCACGCGGCGUUGCUGGGUCAGGCUUGCACCCAUUGCCCAAUAUUCCCCGCUGCUGCCUCCCGUAGGAGUCUGGGCCGUAUCUCAGUCCCAAUGUGGCCGGCCAACCUCUCAGUCCGGCUACUGAUCGUCGCCUUGGUGGGCCGUUACCUCACCAACUAGCUAAUCAGACGCGAGGCCAUCUUCCAGCGAUAAAUCUUUGGCGUCAGAGUCAUGCGGCUCCAACGCAUCAUGCGGUAUUAGCAGUCGUUUCCAACUGUUCGUCCCCCUCUCGGAAGGUCGAGGUUCCCUCACCGGUCGUUACUACCACCACGUCCGCCAACUAAGCCAUUCCCAUCCGUUGUACCCGAAAACUCCUU